rnacentral:tRNA from 1 species
UCGGGGAUCGUCUAAUGGUAGGACAGCGCCCUUUGAAGGCGUCGAUCGGGGUUCGAGUCCCUGUCUCCGAG